AAAUCAAGAGGAAAUCCUGCAUCAUGAAUCCAUAGAGCCUAGCAUCUCUUGCCUGUGCUCCCAGAGUGAUAUGGCUCAGGCAUCACUGUCUGGUGGGUGCUGACUGCAGAGACAUCACUUAGCUCCAGGAAAAUCAAUGGGAUUCACUGUGGAUUAAAGCGUUACCAGCAAGAACUGCUUAAAAAAAACCCAAAACCACCAAACCUAGAGGAGAUGGAAAUUCCCCCCUGGAGAGUGUCAGCAGACACCCAGAAUACAUCUCCAGGGUCACUUAAUUCUCUGGAUCCCACCCAACUUCUAUUGAAGUUAAUUGAAAAAAAAACCAUUGACUUGAAGAGGUUUUGGAUCUGACUCAAAUGGCUCUUGUGGCGGCAGAUUACAAGAAGGACCCCCACUGUGCAAUUCCAGCCAUCUGCUUACGGGUACAAGCAAGAAAUCCCAAUGUUGGCUUCUCCAUUGCUCCCUGUUGGAUUCACCUGUUCAGUCUUUCUUUACUAAUGACAAUAAGGAGCUGUUGGGUAACCUAGUGAUAUAGGUGGGAAACACAUGUGUGUGUCCAUGAAGAGAAAGAGCAGAGACUACUUAAAAAGGGAAAUGCCCUGAUGCACUAGAGAAAGAAGAAAUGAACCUGCAGACUUUAUUCCUCACUGCAAGAUGACCCAUCUUAGGAAGGCAGAUUUGGCUCCUUUUAUUGCUGAAUCUUUCACACUCCGGAGAAGAGUACUGCUGUUGUCUGGUGACUAAAAGCAAAAUCACAUAAAGAGGGAAGAGAAAGGAGAGUAAAACAAAGCUGUCUCUCACUCCCAGCUCGAUAACAAAUGCAGCAAGUGAUCUCGUAAGCACACCAGGUAGUGCCUCUGGGCUGGCACGAUGCCCACCUGUGCCAUCUGCUGAGUAUCAAACCUUCCUCUGCUUCCCAUCCUGCAGAACCUGCUGCAACCGGGCUCUGCUUUUCUGCUGAAAUCACUGCGGCACACAGCCAGCCCAGGCAAAACUGCCCAUCGGACAAUCAGAAUUUGCAGUUCCCAUCUGCCACAAGCUGGGCCUUGGACUGGAGAAGUAGCUGCGGGCUGCUGCUCUCCAAAGGAGCUCAGAAAUUAGGGUCUGUCUGCAUCACGGUACCAGGAGUUCAUUUAUCUCUUUUUGGAAAUGACAGUGUCCUAAAUGAACAUAGUGGAGAGCAUGGGCAGGCCAAUGAACACACCUUAAAACAAGUGGCUUCCCUCAGAUGAAUGACGGGAAACACUGUUUGCAAGCCUCAUUGCUGAGAGAUAGUGAAGACUUCCUCCCACCGAGAACAGAUCACAAACUUCAUGACGACUGUCCUGCACAAUGUUGUGUGCUAGACUAAUAGGUGUAUGAGGCCUGGACAAAGACCUUGCUGGUGGAACACAGAAGUGAAAUACUGCAGGAGGUUGUUCCUCCCCAGCAAAACUCACUAGUAAAGAGAACGGGCCACUGCAUCAAUCAGCACACAGGACUCCACACAGAGUGGAUUUUGAGAUCUGCAAAUAAAAAUGAAAUUGCUCAAAGUAUGACAGGAAGAGAAUGAGGAGUGUGCCCUUCUGAAAACUUGUGAACAAAUAAUGUCUCCAGAAGAUGUCUGAUGUAGUGUAAACAGUGACAGAAGCAGGCCAAGCUGGAAGCAAAAAAAAAGAAAGGAAAUUAGGUGCCUCCCAGCAGGGACUAGAUCCCCAUUGUGCUGGAUGCUGUGGAAACAUACAGUGAAAGGCACAAGACACCAUGAAAUCCUCCUUCCAAAGGGAAGUAAGAAAGAGGACUUCCACAGCAAGGAGCCCACGUCCAGCUAGCACUGUGUCUGUGUUCCGUCAGCCAUAUUGCUGUGGGAAUUGCUAGCACUGGGAAUUGCAGCACCUAUUUGUGGUCUUACUAUGAAAACCCCCUCCUUUGACACAGCUGGUCAUUCAGUUCCUUUGGGCAUCUCUGACAUCAGAGGCAGGACAUCUCUAAUGAUAGAUUGCUUGAAUGAGAAAAAUUAUAAUAAAAAUCCUACUCAUGGAAUGAGGCUGCUGUGGAUAUUCACAGAUUCUGCUUGUUCUCCACAAAGAAGAAUAUAUAAUCCUCUGAAGUGAAAUAUUAUAAAAAUACUAAAAAAAAGCAAUGAAAAUAUUAAACUCUCCUGGGAAAGGCCUUCUUUACUUUGCUUCCUUAUAAUGAGGCUAAUGAGGAAAGUCUGAUGUUAGAGGCAAUGUUCUGGUACUGCAAAGAGUUCCUUUGCAGAGUUUCAUUGCCUACUUUAGUGAUUGCAUUUGCUCACCUCAAAUGAAUGUGGUAUCUCUAACCUCCAAGUCAUGAUGUGAGAAGUUAUUUUUAUUUGCUAGAGCUGACUAUGCAAAAGAGAGCCGGCAAUGACUGUUCUUCUCGGCCAUUCACUUUCUGUGAUGGAGCUGCAACCCAUAGGCCAGACUAAUAGAUUUCUGAUACUAGAAAUACCAUUUCUGCUUUGCUGACAUGCCAGUGUAAAUCCACUGUAUGUAUCCAGUAUGCAGAUACAAGGACACUACUGUUUUCAGUGCUUUUCAAACAAAAAAUUGCUUGUGAACGCCUUCAUACAAAGACAGGCCUUUCAGAGUAAUCAGAAUAAGCCCUAAUUAAUCUUUGGCAAAGAUGUAAUAACACACACAAUGUUAUACUUAAAUGCAGAAAGAGUUGUGUAUAUACAAGUGAUGGGGUUGAUGCACAGACCUGUGUCAAUGCAAUGGUCUUUUAAUCUAAUAAAAAUAACAAUGUUCACAUGACUUUCAUUAAAGGCAUUGCACAGCAUGUCUAUAAGCACAAACAUAUAGUUAAAUGUUCCUACAGUGUAUAUUCCUAACCAUAAGCAUUUAACUAUCAGUAACUGGGUUUUACAAAGAGAUUUCAGCGGGAGAAGGCAUUGUGUAGUGCACGGAGAGCUGGUUUAAGGAACAGCAGGAAAGUAGUUUCCAUCAUCUUUGCAGCACACCAAGAAAGGAGGCUCUUCCUGAACAUCUUAGGAAGCAAGCUCUUUUCAGUAGAAAUUAGGAAGUUUUCUGAAGAGAAGGGUCACUGCAUAGUAGCCAAAACCCGAGCUUGCACCUCUGUUUACAGCUUAACUUGCAAAAUCGGAUAGCACAAAAAUACUGAGCUCUGAGGCUUUAGAUGGGAAAAAGCUUUCUCUGCUGGUUUCCCCAAAGGUGAUUUAUUCUGCAAAAACUGUAUUGUGUAACACUUUCUGCCUUAAAAGCAACUCAUGCAAAGUUAAUUACAUGGCACUAUGUUUGUGGGAAAAUACAUUUUACUACAAGUUAAUUUGAAGAAAAAAAUAUUAUACAAUGAAUGCUAUAAAAAAACAGUUAAGCAACUCACAAAUGCCUUAACAGCAUUUAUAAAUCAAAUCAUUGCACAUCGAUAACUUUAAAACCAACCUACAUCAGCCUUUUGGAACAAUGCACAAGUAAAACAGUUUUUGAGAAGAGACAGGAAUUUCAUCCAUAGAAAUUAAUAAGCUGUGAGGAAGAAAAGGGACUUGUGAUCAUCUAGGCUCACCUGCUGUUUUACACUGGCCAAAGAAGAGACUUAUUCUUUGCUAAUAGUCCUUUCACUCACUGAGCAAGAAACCUUUAUGACUCAUGUUUCAACUACAGAAUAUCUUUAAAAAUGCAGUAUUGAUAUGAAUGUUGAAGAGACUGAAGACUGACCCAAAAGACACCCAACUGUUCCUUAUCGCCCCUUGACUGACUGUCAAAAUAUGGGCCAAAUUUCUUGGCUAAAUAUUCCUAAUUGUGGCUUUCAGGCAUCAGCUCUUGUAAGGCCUUUGACUGCUGAUUCCUCCUUUCUCUGCCCUGAUCCCCCAAAAUCUGAAGCCUCUUCUCCAUAGCCUACCACCUCAGAAUUAAUUUCUAUGCCAAGAGCAAAUGUGGAGGGAAAGAUUACAGAAUCAUAGAAUCGACUGGGUUGGAAAAGACCUCUGAGAUCAUCAAGUCCAACCCUUGCUCCAACACCGUCAUGGUUACUAGCCCAUGGCACUAAGUGCCACAUCCAGUCUUAUCUUACAAACCUCCAGGGGCGGAGAAUCCACCACUUCCCUGGGCAGCCCAUUCCAAUGUCUGAUUACUCUCUCUGUAAAAAAUUUUUUCCUAAUAUUCAACCUGGACCUCCCCUGGCACAGCUUAAGACCCUGCCCUCUUGUCCUACUGCUGGUUGCCUGGGAGAAGAGACUGACCCCCAUCUGGCUACAGAUCUCACAUUACUUAUUAUUUCUCUUUUAAAUUCUUUAAGUAAUUCCCUGGAAAAGGUUGUGUGCACCAAACUACUUGCAUAAUGCCACAUCCAUAGCAGAGAAAGUCCCCAGAGAAGGUUGACAAUAUUAAAGAAAUUAUAUUCCUAUGAAGAAUUUUAUGUUCACAGUGUGAAUGUGCAAAAUGAACUGCCGGUGUUGCUGACUCCUGUGAAUUUACUUUAAGUUUUGCAAGAUUAGGUAAUUUUCUUCAAGACCUAGCUCCUGAAGAGAUGACUAUGGGACAAAAUGUCUUGGAUUUUCCUCUCCUACUGCUUCCUUUCAGUAUUUUUUUUAUGCCUUUCCUGACUGUGGAAAAGCCUGCAGUGUGAUGUGAAUUUGUCUUGCGGGCUUAGAAAACAGACAAAUAUGUAUUUAUUCUGUUUCUUUAUGUUAAAGAUGAUCAAAAACUCAUAGUAACCACUCAGUUCACUUAGUGUAAGUGACUGGUCCUUCCCAAAAGUAUAAGACAGGUAAGAAAGCCUAAGAAAAUAAUGUUAUUUUCAUUUUACAGAUAGAGAAUUAAUUCACAGUUACUCAUGUUGGAUUCAAAACCUAUUUAUGCCAAUUGAUUUCUUGAGAUCACACAGCUAAACACACCUUUUCUAAAUCCCUGACACUGCAUUAAGGACAAGAAAUUAUUUCUUUCUAAAAGCAGAGCUAGUUAAAUGUAUCAUGAUAUUGCAGACUUUAUAGAGCUCCCACUGAUCUGAAUGGAUUCAUAUGCAGAGUCUCAUAGAAACUGAACCUCUGGAAGCAGCCACUGGUAUUUAACCACAUAGCACUAAUCAUUGAAUCACUCUGCCUGAGUUUCUAUUAGGUAGAGAAAGAAAAGGUUGCUCUCUCUGCCAUUAUUUGUUUGUCCCUUUAGAUUUAUUAAUCUGAGAAUAUUAGAAAUGUAUUUGCUAAAUCAUAAUAGUCUGAACUACUAACAAUAUGCAAUAAGAGUGCAAACACAUACAUUUUAAAAUCUAUGGUUCCUGUUCUUCCUAUUAUAAAUCUUGACAAGUAGUAAUUACAUGCAAUCUCAGGAAACAAAGUUAAUCAUAAUUAUCUUAAAAACAGAAAAGAGGCAUUAGAAGGGUCAUGUUGGGCCUGUAUCAGUUACAUUUAAUUAAACAGAAGAUUAUGCAUAAUCCAGUAAAACAGUCUCUUUUUUGAUCUAAUAACCAACAGAAACAAAGCUCACCAAUACUAACAAGUGUUCAUGGAAGUAAGGAACUCAACUUCUGUACUUUCAGGGUUGUCUUAGGAAGGGACUAUCACAGCAAAUGAAGGGACCUAGACAGCCAGGUGAAUGAGCAUUCAGAAAACAAAUUUUUAGGCAGUCUUGGAAAUCUCAGCCUUGUACUAUACUUGUACCAAUCCCUUGGUGUGCUGCCCAUGUAAAUUGAACACAGAUUCCUGUUUCUGAGCAGAGACUUUCAGUUUACAGUUGUUAUUGCUCCCUUGUGUGUAUUUUACCUCUAUAUGGAGAGUACUUCUCAAUCACCACUCAUGUCUCUCUUUCCACCACUGCAGGGGCAGAGUCCAUGGUUUGGAUAAGGUGUAGAAAAUCUUGAGGCUCAUCAAAAUUCAGAAUAAAAAUUAAAACACAGGUCUACUAUCAUUUCAACAGCAUGCAUCAUGGAAGGAUUCCUGAAAUGUGGCUCUUUAUCUGAUUCUGUUUCUGUAAUAUAUUUCUUUUAAUGAUACUAUAGGAAAGCUCAAGAUAAAGAACAGACUCAGUCUUUUUUUGGAUAAAAACCUAAUUCAGUAUAGUAUGUAGAUAACCUAACUGUGUAAAUAUCACUCAAUAAAUUAAAUAAUGUGAACACUACCAUUAGAACUGAUAUUAAUAGUCAUCAUAUUUAUUUGACCAUUUUGUACAUAUUUCCUCUUUGUUUAGAUUAAAAAAAAAUAAAAAAAUAUUUUGCCUCAUAAAGAAUGAACAAAUGAGACAUUUGCCUUUAACUAGGCAUACAAAUUGCAAAAACACCCUUUAAAUGAUCAAGAACACUAGAAAUCUGGUAGUAUUCCACCUUACAUAUUUCAAAGGCAUUAAAUGCUUGAAGCAAACUUAUCUACCAGUUCCAGCUGUUGCCAGUGAGGAUAAGGGAAUUUUUUUAUUUUUAUUUUUUUCUCUUCUACCAAAACAGUAAGUCUCAAAACUCUACUAUGUUACUGAAAAAUUCUAUAGUCUAAAUAGAUUAGGAUUCCCACUUUCAUGGCAUGCAACAGACCAGCUCUUCCGCUGAGAAUCACAAAAUGAAUCACAAAAACUGCGAUGCAAAUAUUGGUGAAGCAUUUUUUUUAGCUGUUUUUUGUGGGUUUGUAAACUUCAUUCCCACCUAGUCCUCUCAUCCUACUUAUAAAAUUUGGCCAUAGUUUAUAUUUUUACUCACAUUAUUAAAACAAACAAACUAACCAAACAAAAUCUCAAAAUAUCUCUUUUAGAUAAGACUCUUUGUUUAAAACUUAAU